GCGUUUUUAAUUACCCGCACGGCUGCUCCCUCCCAUUAGUGUGGGAAAUGAAGGGUUGAGCGUUUAGCACUUAACAGUGAUAAUCCCAGCGCAAAACUUUCAGAACAGCCCAUUGAUCCCAAAGUCCGAUGGAUAUGAGCCUGCUUCAGGUGGCUUGGGCUAGCUCCGCGGCCUCUUCACUGUUUGGAAUGGAGGAAGCUCAAACCCAGCCAGCAUCCCAAGCCAAGCAAGCUGCACAGGGCCGGCAUCUGGGAUGUGAAAAGCUAACUGGCCAGACUUGGAGGGCAUGCAAGGACAACGGCCGUCUCAAGGACACACACUGGAUGGGCAGGUGCCUUGUGCAGUCAGGACAAGUGUUCCGGAGCCUGGCAGCUGUGGCCUGUCUGGUGGGUUGCAUGACCUCUGCUUUCCUUGUUAGCUUCAGGUUUGACAGAGGCCAGAGCCCCACUUUCAUCUGGGGCUGCCAUCAGGGGUCACCCCUUGAGAGGCAGUCUGUACACUCAGCUGCCAAUCAACUGCAUGAGGACAGAGCUACCCACUGCACCAUGCACUCACCUG
ensembl:lincRNA Gm1667 predicted gene 1667